rnacentral:rRNA from 1 species
AUUGAACGCUGGCGGCAUGCCUUACACAUGCAAGUCGAACGGUAACAGGUCUUCGGAUGCUGACGAGUGGCGCACGGGUGAGUAAUACAUCGGAACGUGCCUAGUAGUGGGGGAUAACUACUCGAAAGAGUGGCUAAUACCGCAUGAGAUCUACGGAUGAAAGCAGGGGAUCGCAAGACCUUGUGCUACUAGAGCGGCCGAUGGCAGAUUAGGUAGUUGGUGGGAUAAAAGCUUACCAAGCCGACGAUCUGUAGCUGGUCUGAGAGGACGAUCAGCCACACUGGGACUGAGACACGGCCCAGACUCCUACGGGAGGCAGCAGUGGGGAAUUUUGGACAAUGGGCGCAAGCCUGAUCCAGCAAUGCCGCGUGCAGGAUGAAGGCCUUCGGGUUGUAAACUGCUUUUGUACGGAACGAAAAGCCCUGGGUUAAUACCCUGGGGUCAUGACGGUACCGGAAGAAUAAGCACCGGCUAACUACGUG